CCUUUGGAGUGUCAUAGCAAACAUGAGUAGAUUUUUUUAUCGAAAACGGACACGGUGAAUAAGGAA
rnacentral:sRNA from 1 species